UCGGGAAUAUUGCGCAAUGGAGGAAACUCUGACGCAGUGACGCCGCGUGCAGGAAGAAGGUUUUCGGAUUGUAAACUGCUUUAGACAGGGAAGAAAAAAUGACAGUACCUGUAGAAUAAGCUCCGGCUAACUACGUGCCAGCAGCCGCGGUAAUACGUAGGGAGCAAGCGUUAUCCGGAUUUAUUGGGUGUAAAGGGUGCGUAGACGGGAAAACAAGUUAGUUGUGAAAUCCCUCGGCUUAACUGGGGAACUGCAACUAAAACUAUUUUUCUUGAGUGUUGGAGAGGAAAGUGGAAUUCCUAGUGUAGCGGUGAAAUGCGUAGAUAUUAGGAGGAACACCAGUGGCGAAGGCGACUUUCUGGACAAUAACUGACGUUGAGGCACGAAAAGUGUGGGGAGCAAACAGGAUUAGAUACCC
rnacentral:rRNA from 1 species